GGAGAGAGGAGGUCCGAACGCGUUGUUGGUGAAAUAACAUGCGAGGACUUGUGGUUAGGGGUAAUAUGCCAAUCGAACACAGAGAUAGCUGGUUCUCCUCGAGAUAUAUUUAGGUAUAGCCUCUAGUUAACGUUACACGGGGUAGAGCUACUGGAUGGUCCCGAAAGAUUAAUUUCGAUCGGGAUCAACCAAACUCCUAAUACGUGUAAUUCAAGUGCUAGGGAGUCAGUCGAGUCCGGAUAAGCGGAUUUCGGCGAAAGGGAAACAGCCCAGACUCUCGUCUAAGGUUCUAAAAUGACUUUUAAGUGAAAAGGCCGUUUAAUUUCCAAUACAGCAGGUAGGUUGGCUCAGAAGCAGCCACCCUUUAAAGAGUGCGUAACAGCUCACCUGAAUAUUCCCGAUUCAUCGGGAUGGAGAUUUUGCGCCUAAAAUGAUCGGAGCUAAAAGGUCUACCGAAGACGGAGAUGCGGUCGCAAGAUCGCGUGGUAGAGGAGCUUCCUGUAAACAGUGAAGGUGGAUUGUAAGAUCUGCUGGAGAUUACAGGAGUGAGAAUGCUGACAUAAGUAGUGAAUCUUCCGAUGAAAACUCGGAAUGCCGUAAGUUCAAGGUUUCCUCGGUAAUGUCAAUCAUCCGAGGGUAAGUCGAAUCUAACCGCGUACCGUCUGGUACGGGGGAUGUACAAGCCGUUAAUAUUCGGCUACUUGGUUUAAUGAGUUAUAUUUUUUAGAUGACGAGGUUUGAUAGGUCACUCCUUCUAUACGAAGGACUAAAUUAUAAAUCCAGGUCGCAAGAUUUGGGCAAGUAAUUAAUGCAAUUCCGUCGCAAGACGGGAGAGGUGGAUGACUUAAGCCUCCUGGAAAAAUCUAUUAAGGAUUAUUAAAUCAAUUCGUACCACAAACCGACACAGGUGAACUGGUGGAGUACACCAAGGCAUUCGGGAAAAGGUAGUUUAAGGAAUUCGGCAAAAAAGCUGAGCGUAAGUUUUCGAUAUGCUCUGUCCCGACGUAACGUCGGGAUCGCAGCAAAUGUUUGUCAACCGACUGUUUAGCAAAAACACAGGUUCCUGCAAACCCCAAUAGGGGAUGUAUAGGAGCUGAGACCUGUCCGGUACUGGUAAGUUAACCGCUGGGAUUGACUUCUACCGCAAGGUAGGAAAAGGUUC
rnacentral:rRNA from 1 species